UACAGAGGGUGCAAGCGUUAAUCGGAGUUACUGGGCGUAAAGGGCGCGUAGGCGGAUAUAUGUGUGUGAUGUGAAAGCCCCGGGCUUAACCUGGGAAGUGCAUCGCAAACUGUAUAUCUAGAGUAUAUGAGAGGGUGGCGGAAUUUCAGGUGUAGCGGUGAAAUGCGUAGAGAUCGGAAGGAACGUCAAUGGCGAAGGCAGCCACCUGGCAUAAUACUGACGCUGAGGCGAGAAAGCGUGGGGAGCGAACAGG
rnacentral:rRNA from 1 species